rnacentral:rRNA from 1 species
UAGGGAGGGGGCUAGCGUUGUUCGGAAUUACUGGGCGUAAAGCGCACGUAGGCGGCUUUGCAAGUUAGAGGUGAAAGCCCGGGGCUCAACUCCGGAAUUGCCUUUAAAACUGCAUCGCUAGAAUUGUGGAGAGGUAAGUGGAAUUCCGAGUGUAGAGGUGAAAUUCGUAGAUAUUCGGAAGAACACCAGUGGCGAAGGCGACUUACUGGACACAUAUUGACGCUGAGGUGCGAAAGCGUGGGGAGCAAACAGG